rnacentral:rRNA from 1 species
UGGGGAAUCUUGCACAAUGGGCGAAAGCCUGAUGCAGCAACGCCGCGUGCGGGAAGAAGGCCCUAGGGUUGUAAACCGCUUUCAGCAGGGAAGAAAAUGACGGUACCUGCAGAAGAAGGUGCGGCCAACUACGUGCCAGCAGCCGCGGUGACACGUAGGCACCAAGCGUUAUCCGGAUUUAUUGGGCGUAAAGAGCUCGUAGGCGGUUCGGUAAGUCGGGUGUGAAAAACUCUGGGCUCAACCCAGAGAGGCCACUCGAUACUGCUGUGACUAGAGUGCGGUAGGGGAGCGGGGAAUUCAUGGUGUAGCGGUGAAAUGCGCAGAUAUCAUGAGGAACACCAGUGGCGAAGGCGCCGCUCUGGGCCGUAACUGACGCUGAGGAGCGAAAGCAUGGGUAGCAAACAGGAUUAGAUACCCUGGUAGUCCAUGCCGUAAACGUUGGGCACUAGGUGUGGGUCUCAACCAACGAGAUCCGCGCCGU